GAACGUGUUGACACUAAUAAAGUCGUAUUUCACCCACACUGUAGUUUGUGGACUGUGGAAAUGGAGGGCUUGACACCCACAGAGUCUGGUGCAGAAGCACUGAGCAUCAGCAGAAGUGGUUUGUCACCCUAUGGGGGACAGGAUUCAGGGAACCUAGAGAUUCUUCUUUCAACUUGAGUUUCAGCAAGCAACAAGGAGCAACUUGAAAGGGAGAGAGCUUGUCAGAGGACCUUGAUUCACCUCCAGGUGACCUAACUCUCCUCCACCUCCAGGUGAACUGUGGGUACCUCUGACUGACAGAAGCCGGGUCACCUCUCCACACCCUGGCUUUGAGAGAGGCUGAGAAAUGGAACCUGAAGAAAAAAGUGUUUUUAUACUUUCCAGCUCUCAUAGUUGGAGAGUUGGGAUACGUGUUGCCAUCCCCCUCCCCCGCCGAGGUUUGUGGGCUGUGAGGAACGAGGCCACCACGACCUGACGGGGCCAGAGCCAUUGAAGAGGCAUCCAGAGCUUGCAGGAUCUACGAAAACAGGCACACUUGGAUUUGGUCUGCAGACCUGAUUUUGCCCACCCCUGCUCUAGGCAAACAGAGAAAGCACAAUACCAUAUUUUUCCCAGUUUGAGAGGUUCUCUUCAGUGUUGAUGAACAGCUGCCAACAUCACAAAAAGAGGGACGACCCGACAUGAAGCGCCUCUUGAAGGAAGUUCACAACACCUCCUAUGAAGUCGUCUUGUCCCCCCCCCGCCCCCGGCCAAAAUCAAAUCAAAAUCUGGCAAUGCCUCUGAAUCAGCUACCAGUUUACAGAAGGUACAGACCACAGAGGAACAUGCUCAGAGACACACCACGGAGAUGCAUGCAGCGAACUCCAGACGGUGGGGUUUCUGCCGGACUGACGGCCCAACUGAUUCUUCAAAAAUUCAUUUCAAAGGAAAGAAGAAACUGUG